UACGGGGGGAGCAAGCGUUGUUCGGAUUUACUGGGCGUAAAGGGCGCGUAGGCGGUCGUGACAAGUCACUUGUGAAAUCUCCGGGCUUAACUCGGAACGGUCAAGUGAUACUGUCGGACUAGAGUACAGAAGGGGCAACUGGAAUUCUCGGUGUAGCGGUGAAAUGCGUAGAUAUCGAGAAGAACACCUGCGGCGAAGGCGGGUUGCUGGGCUGAUACUGACGCUGAGGCGCGAAAGCCAGGGGAGCGAACGGG
rnacentral:rRNA from 1 species